rnacentral:lncRNA from 1 species
UUCAAGAGAUUCCAUUUGAAUACUACUUGGUAAAGACUUGAGAUUUUUGCAUUUUUCCAGAUUCAAGAAGAUAAGCUUUUUGAGAUUUCCAAUGGAUGGAUGAAUUUCAACCAAACUUUCACAACUUUUUAGUAUAAUCUUCUGGAGGUUUGGACUCUCACAAAAAUUGGGUGUUCGGAGUAAACUUCUUGAAAAACUUAGAUUGAGGAUUGUCAACUUGUCAAAUGCCUGUUCAUAAAAAGAGAACAAAUAAAAAUAUCAGCUUUAAUUGUCAUUUCUUUUCUUUAAAUUAAACAUGAUUCUUUUCUGAAGGAGAUGAACAAUACCUUUGGAUCCUUGAAGAAGAGAACUACAAGUCAUAAUGAGCCCAACUAGAUUUCCCGGAUCAAAAUCUUCUGGUAAAGAUACAAAACUGUAGUAUGACCAAUCAAGCCAUUUCAAGUUACUGGGGAGAUACUCAAUAGGGUCACAAAUAGGGUCAUGAUGUCAGGCCUCCUCCCCUUUGACAAUGAGUAACCUUAGACAAGGCAUGUUUUUUAAUUCUUUGCUCCACUUGCAUAUAUGACGGUCUGAGCCAAUUGGUGCCAUUAUGCCUUUAAUUGACUCUGUCCUCUGGAAAAGAAAUUAAAGUAACUUUGUUAAACAGAACAUACUUCCAAACAUAGAACGUAUUCUCCCUAAUUUACAAAUCUUAAUCUAUAUCAUUUUUUGUUGGAAUUAAUAGGGUGUACUGAGGUUAGGAUAAUACCGGUAGUAUAAGAUUUAUAUGGAUUUGCAUUAUGAGUUCAUCCAAAUUAAUUGAGAACUUCAAAUACUCUUACUUCCACUUCCUUUUCAUUAUGACCCGAUAAGAAAUCCAUUCUCCAAUCAAUAUAAGGUUCGAUUUGACAUGUGUUACAUUAGGAGGUCUUCCCUAUCAACCAAUUAAGCUAAAAUUUGAACAUAUCAAAGAAUCAAAAUUUUGCAUUACUUUUUAAAAAUAAAGCUCUUAUAAAUCUAGAAGUUUGUAUAUCAUGUUCCUAAAUAAUAGUUCCUCACAAAUUUAUUUUGUAAGGGUCGUUUCGUUGGGAACAAGUUAUCCCAAGACUAAUUAUCCUGGGAUAACUUAUCCCACCAUGUAUAUGAAAUAACUUAUUCCAUCACUAUGAUAUAAAUGGUGGAUAAGUUGUCCCAAACAUGGCAACCAAACAAGAUAGCAAAAUUUUAUCCCUGGACUAUUUAUUUCUAUCCCUCACACCAAACGACCCCUAAGAGGGAGAUAAUUUUGCAACAAACUAUUUAACAAGACAAAGAUUACUAUAAGCUAGUACCAAAUUGUCAUCAAUAAAAGUACUUUCAAGGUAGGAAAGAAAAAGAAGUAACAACAAUAAAAAAAAAAACAAAUUAUUCAGAAUGUAAAUAUAUAAUAAAAUCACUACAUGAGGAAGAGAACGAGAAAAAGAACACGGCAUGUUCUGCGCUAGCCCUCAUGUGGGUACUUUGGAGGGAAAAGACUAGGAUAACUUUUGAAGAGAAAGAACAUGAGUUUGUACGGUUUAGGGCUUGCCUUUAUUUUUGCUUGAUUUUAAGAGCACCCACAAAGUUCUUGUAGGAAUAGAUGACUGGGUGUCAUGGCAGACAACCAUUUUAUUGCAGCCCAUUUUAAUUUGCCCGGUGAAUUGAUGCGGUAAAUCUAAGGUGAGGUGUCAUGGUGUAUGUUAUUUAGAGAUGACUUAGUUCUGAUUGACAAGACUGUCAGAGGAGUUAAUGCUAAGUUGGAGGUCUGGAGACAAACCUUGGAGUAUAAAAGGGUUUAGGUUGAUUAGGACCAACAUAAAUACUUAAGCGCAUGUUCAGUAACGUAACACACGACGCAGGCGUGAACGUGAGGCUUUAUACCCAGGCUAUCCAAAAGAAAGGAAGUUUCAUUUAUGUUGAACUUAUUAUCCAAAGUAAGGGGAAGAUUGAUGAUGAUCUCAGACAUCAUAUUGGUGCAGGGUGGAUGACAUGGAGGCUAACUUCCAAAGUCUUGUAUGAUAAGAAAGUGCCACCAAAACUUAAAGACAAGUUCUGCAGAGUGGUGGUUAGCCAAACUAUGUUGUACGGAGUGGAAUGUUUGUCGGUCAGUAACUCUCAUAUUCAAAAGAUAAAAGUUGUGAAAAUGAAGAUGUUGAGAUGAAUGUUUGGGGAUACUAGGAGAGAUAAGAUUAGAAAUAAUGUAUGCGGGACAAGGUAGGAGUGGCCUUGAUCGAGGACAAGAUGCGGGAAGCGAGGUUGUGAUGGUUUGGGCAUGUGAAGAAGAGAUGAAUAAAUGCUCUAGUGUAGAAGGGGGAGAGGUUGGUUAUGAAUGGUUUCAGGAGAGGUAGAGAUAGGCUGAGGAAGUAUUGGGGAGAGGUGAUUAGACAGAAUAUGACACAACUUUUGGGUAGAAGGUAAGUUAGGUAGUUGAGUGUUAUCUCACUUAUCCUUCCGUACUAAUAGUCGUAGUACUAUUGUAACAACUAAAAAUUUGGUGAGUUUGGGUUGAAAGGUGUAAGGUAGGUUAACUGGCAGGUCCACAGACCUUAGCUCAACCGUGAACCUUUCAGAAUGACCUAAGCGGCCCGUGGAAGGGUUGACGACCCGUUUAGGGGAAAGAGGGUGCCCGUUUAGGCAACCCAAAAUUUAGCCCCCAACUUCAUGACCCCUUCACGGACUGUGAAGGGCUAAACAGUUCGUGAAGGCUCCCUUACAGGUCUCUCAUCAGCUUUUUGAGUUGGGGCUAUUUUAGUCAUUUCCUAUGCGUCUAGUACCAAAGCUAUGUCGUUUUAACCCCUAUUAUAAGCCCUAUAUAAGUAUUUUAAUUCCUAAAACUACCCAUUCUAAAAUCAUUCUCCUAAAUCCCAUAUUCCCUCUAAGUUCUUCACCAAAGUUCUCUCUACAGCUAAGAAAGAAGUAAGGGUUUCACUUCAAGAUCUCUGAUUCAUCAUAGCACUUGGGUCUUAGUUACUACAGUAUGUUAGUAUUCACCUAUGAAGUCCUUUCCUUUAUAGGAUUCCCAAGAUCUUCCAAUUUUACAAGUUCAAUUCUCAAUUCAAAGUUAGGGUUUUAUUCAAUCUUCAUGUGUUCUACUCAAUUAUAAUUCAAUUAAUUUUUUUUCUAUCUUUUAUGCAUGAAUUGAGGUAUUUACAUGAUUUUGAGUUGAAUUCAUAUGAACCCAUGCAUGAUCCAUGAUCUUAGACUAUGAACACAUAAUGAAGCUUAUAAACUAUGAAUUUAUAAAGAUAUGCAUGCUUUUAUGAAAUUGAUGUAAAUGAUUUGAGGAAGCUUUGAGAUGAAAGUAUCAAUGUUGUUGUGAAAGGCUUUCUCACAUACUACUAUGAUCAUGAUUGUGAAAGGUUUUCUCACAUAAGGAUUCAUAAGGUUGAAAGGUUUUCUCACCUAAAUUGAAUCAAGUUUUAGGAGUUAUUUAGUUUGGAUUGGUUACUUAAUUGUGUCUUUCCAAAUGAAUAUGAUUAAUGACUAUUCCGUGAGAUUUUAUUUAGCACCGAGAGGAUAUUGAGAUGGAGGCUCUCCCGUUAGUAGAGGUCGGGUCUCUAGUAGCAAUCUUCGUGUCCCUAACUAUGUGCCCUGUAGGAUGUCUUAGCUAGUGGAUUCACGUAAGCUAGAAGUUUAAGGUUGUUAUCUUGGCAAGCAAUGACAUCUCUUUACGGUGUGGGAUAGACACCGGAUUCCAUGUUGUAGCUCACAUGGUCUAUGUUGGUUAAUGGUUAACAUCCCACAAUAAUGAACUAGGUUACUUUCAAAGUAUCUCACAAAGUGUUAAGCUUGCAUUGACCAUAAUUUACGACUUGUGUUUUCUAACCCUUUUAUCUUAUGAUUUAGCUUGGUCAUUGCAUGUCAUAUUAAAGUCCUUUUUAGUCAUGAUUUCAUAUCUUUUAUGCAUUGCUAUCAUACUUAGUACAUUCCAUGUACUAAUGCAUACUUGUGCCUACAUUGUUUCACUAAUGUAGGGUCCGACGCUCCUCCUCCGCAUACUUGUGGCUAGUUGAUCUCAUUGACAAUUCCAAGAUCAAGAGUUGGUGAGUCCUCAUAUUCUAAGGACCAUGGCACUUUUAUCGCUUUCUUUACCUCCUAAGGUAGAGGGUAAGGUCUACUUAUUCUAGAAGUUUAUACAUCAGGUUCUUAAAUGAUAUAUAUUAAUAUAAACCAAUACCAAAUCGUCAUCAGUAAAAGUACUUUCAAGGAAGGAAAGCAAAAAAGAAACAACACUAAAAAAUACACGACAAAUUAUUCCAUAUGUAAAUAAAUAUAUAAUAAAAACAUUACACGAGGACAGGGAAGAGAAGAAGAACAUGGUAUGUUUUGUGCUAGCCCUCAUAUGGGUACUUUGGAGGGAAAGGACCAGGAGAACUUUGAAGAGAGAGAACGUGAAUUUGUAUGGUUUAGGUCUUGCCUUUAUUUUUUCUUGAUUUUAAGAGGAACCACAAAGUUCUUGUAGGAAUAGAUGAUUUGGUGUCAUUGGUAGAGAACCAUUUUUGUGCAACCCAUAUUUAUUUGCCUGGUGAUAGAUGAAUUGGCGUGGUAAAUUCAAAGGGAGGUGUCAUGGUGUAUGUUAUUUACAAAUGACAUAGUUCUGAUUGACAAGAUUAGCGACGGAGUUAAAGCUAAGUUGGAGAUUUGGAGACAAACCUUGGAGUCUAAAUGGAUUCAGAUUGGGUAGGACCAAGAUAAAAUACUUAAGUACAAGUUCUACGUAACACACGAGGUUGGCGUGGAAGCAAGGCUUGAUACCCAAGCCAUCCAAAAUAAAGGAUUCAAUUAUCUUGAGUCUAUUAUCCUAAGUAAUGAGGAGAUAAACGAUGAUCUCACACAUCAUAUUAUUGCAGGGUGGAUGAAAUGGAGGCUUACUUCUAGAGUCUUGUAUGAUAAGAAAGUGCCAUGAAAACUUAAAGGCAAUUUCUAUAGAAUAGUAGUUAGGCCAACUAUGUUGUAUGGAGCGGAAUUUUGGCUAAUCAAGAACUAUCACAUUCAGAAGAUGAAAGUUGUGAAAAUGAGGAUGUUAAAAUGGAUAUGUGGGCAUACUAGGAGAGAUAUAAUUAGAAAUAAUGAUAUGUGGGACAAGGUAGGAGUGGCCUCGAUAGAGGAUAAAAUGCGGAAAGCGAGGUUGUGAUGGUUUGGGCAUGUGAAGUAGAGAUGCUCUACUGCAAAAUUGGGAGAGGUUGGCUAUGGAUGGUUUCAAAAGAGGUAGAGGUAUGCCGAGAAGUAGUGAGGAAAGGUGAUUAGAUAUGCCACGACACAGCUUCAGUGGGUAGAAUGUUAGUUGGUAGCGGAGUAUUAUCUCGUUUAUCCUUCCAUACUAGUAGUCGUAGUACUACUCUUGUUGUUUCUUGUUAUUUGAUCUUUGUUACUAUUAAAUGUUUCGUGUACUUAAAUUAUCAUAUUAUUUUAUUUUAGCUUUUUUUAAUGUUUUGUCAUGAUUUCUUCGCUUUCGCUUUUUUCCCACUUGUUUGAGAUGCUUUUACUUGAGUCGAGGGUCUAUUGGAAACAACCUCUCUACCUCCCAAGGUGGGCUAAGGUCUACUUACACUCUACAUUCCCUGGAUCCCACUUAUGAGAUUACACUAGUAUGUUGUUGUAAAAGUCCAUCAUAAGAACAAAUAAGACCUAUGAAUAAAUAGAAGUUAGCACACUCAUUUUCUAUUCGACAUUUAAUGUUCAGGAUGAUAAAAUCUAAAAUUGCAAAAUCAUAAUUAGAACUAGAACUCUAGUAAAUGGAUAUUGAGUAAGCUACUCUAGUUGAAAUCUGUAGAUGGCACAUCCAGUAAUCUAUGAAACUAAUCUUCUUAAUUGGUGGCUACAUGCAUCCUUGUGUGCAAAGUAAUAUGGAAGAACAAAUUCGAACAUACAAGGCUAUAUUUGUUGCCAAGAUAUUACAUAAUUUAAUAAAGAUACUAUCCCAUGAGAUGCAGUUUAGAUUGAGAAAAAUGUGCUAGAUCUGAAGUUUGUUCAAAUUCAGAUAUCUAAUCCCAUUGAAGCCACAUAAUGAAAGAGAGAGAACGGAAAUCUCCAGCAUAGAGGAAUUCUUACCUGAUCUGCAGAAAAAAACAGUUUUUAUAUCUUGUUCAUGCCAUAGUCUACUGUGAUUCCAUGGCUUGUCAUGGUCCACAUUGCGUGCCACUCGCUGACCCAUUUGUUCUAUCAAAUCAUGCAUAUCAACCAUUCCUUCUGAAAUAUAUAAAAGAGACUUUUGGAUGAGGACAUCAAUUCCAAUCUCUGAUUGGAAGCCAAAACUGUUCAGUAUUGUUAUCACAUUAUCUUUCUUUCGUCCUCUAAAGAAACAUGCAAUAUCAAGAAAAGCAUUCUUCUCUUCAUGGUUCAAUCCAUCUAGAGUCUAGACUUAAACUGACCUAGACUUUCCAACUUAAUUCUUGAAUAUUAACAGCCUUUUAGUGAUUGUUGUCGAUGGGCGUAGACUUGAAGUUUAAAACUAAUUUUAUCUAUUAUUAGCUAAAGAUUCUAAAGCAUAAGAGAAAUAAAAAGAUUGAAGUCUUAAUCACAUCCAAGCUUAAAUUUCGAUUUUGAGGCGUCAUCAUUAACAAGAUGCAACUCCUUAAUUAUAAUUCCAAUUACCUACUACCUUUUUUUUGUUUCCCACCUAGUGCCUUGAAUCAGUUCUGGGGCCUGACUAAUAUGAAUUUGAGAGGGUAAAUCCUAUUUUGAGGGGUUAAGUGCCUCCUACCAAAGGCAACUCCAUUCUCAAGGCUUGAAUCCGAGAGCUCUGGUUUAGGAUAUAGGGGUACUUACCACCCUAUCACAACCUUUGAUGGUGCCUAAGAGAGUCUUUAGUUUUCUAAAAAAACUACUACUACAUUCAUAUUAGUUUAAUUCUUAAUUGUAAUAUUAUUCAGUAAAUUUAACAAGUAAGAGGUACUAUUACGCUUUAGAUUUUGAAGAUUUGUUACACAACUAUCUCUACUAUUAGGUUCCCCCUUGAAGGUCAGUAUCAACUACUUUAUUUCAAAUUGGUUACAACAAAAUAAUGAGAAUAUACAAUCUCAACAAUAAUGUGAUUUAAAAUGUAAAGAUUAUAUUGGUAUAAUUUCAUCUAAUUUUGAGUUCAAGUUAUCAGAUUAACUCUUAUAUCUUUUUUAAAUCUGUUAAAUGCCAUUUUCUUAUAAUUUUAAUGUAAUUAUUGAUUUGCCUUAUUAAUUCAUUAUUGCUAAGAAAAUCAUUAUUUUUGCCUAAUCUUUUCCAACAUUACUAACCUAAUACUUAGCCACAUUGAAAUUAAAUUGUUAAUCUAACUGUAUUCAAACUAUCAAACUUUAAUAAUAAUAGGUAUUUUGAGUUACCUUAAACUUGGUUUCUUGGUAAUUACCUCAAUAUCCCAGCAUAUAGAGCUAAUUUAGCCUCUCUUCCGCUUAAGUCGUGUGAAACCAACAAUUUCGUAUAUUUUUGAAAAAAAUGUUCUUUCAUCCUCAUAGAUCAUAUGAACUCCCCACUGUCUCGCAAUGCACCCAUGCAUAGAUGCCUCAAAUAGGCUAUACUGGUUAAUGUCUCCAACCUGCAGUGAAGAAUACAAUGGUAUGUAGGCGAAGCAAACACACCAGCCAUAUGUUCUAGAUGCUGUGCCCACUUUACAUUCUUUCUCAAUCACUUUAAGGUCUUUCAAAUGAUCAUUGCAUAUCAAUUUGGCAUUGAUGAAAGCAUAAUCAUACUUCCCAGAUAGCCUUGAAUUAGGACUGCAGACACCUGCUCCCAUGAGAGUCACACAGCAUAUAGCAAAUCCCUUUAACUUAUCAUUAUACCAAUUACUGGGCAGUUUGAACGAGAUCUUUUCCUCAACACCCUGAUGCAUAAACCAUGUGGGAAUUGCACGUUCAGGAAAGACAAUGGAACAAGUUACCCUAUGAUCGGAGUUAAGAGUGGGGAGGAUCACAUCAUCCAUAUUGUUUGAUAGAAACAAACUGAGAAUCUCAUCUGAAAUUGAGCUACCAUUGCUCUCCUCUGUAUAAGAUUGUUGAUCAAAACUAUAAUUGGUGAAUGAUACCAAAUUCAACCUUGGGUACAUCCGUAGCUUUUCAACACUUUCUUUUGCCAAAAAAUCCUCUACAUAUAAUUCCUCUAUAUUCUGAGGAAGUAGGGGAAGUUCCUCAAGUUCCUGACAGUGUGCUAUAUUAAGAUAUCGAAGGUGAGAAAGUCGCCUGAAGAUAGCAGGCAAAUAAAUAAACUUAUUCCUGCUCAGAUUCAGUUCCAAUAAAGAAGUUAAGUUGAUAAGAGCAGAAGCUUGUUUAUCACAUAAAUUACAUCCACUGAGAUCUAAGCUUUUCAAUUCCCCCAAAGAAUGAAACACCCAGGGUAAUAUCAAACUGCGAGCAGAUUGAUGCUUUACCUUCCACCCUUUUCUUAAUGAAAGGAUCUUGAGUUUGCUUAAGUUUCCAAUAGAAUCUGGUAGUUGCCAAAUGGCAGUGUUGCCAGCAUAGAGCUCCUCCAACUCGUUUAGAUCACCUAGAUUUUCAGGAAAAAUUGCAAGUCUUGAGCAGCCUUUCAGAAUCAAAAUUUUCAGUUUUCUCAUCUCACAGACACUGGCUGGGAGUCUUACAAGGUUUUCACAUGAUCGCAAAUCAAGCAAUCUGAUACCACUGAGCUGUCCUAUUGAUGAGGGUAUUUCACAGAUUGCAGUACGUGCCAGAAGGAGCUCUGAUAGCAAUUCCAUAUUCCCCCGAAUUUCUGGAAAGUUUUCUAAUUUCUGACAACCUGAGAGGUUGAAGCUUUCAAGAGAUUCCAUUUGAAUACUACUUGGUAAAGACUUGAGAUUUUUGCAGUUUUCCAGAUUCAAGAAGAUAAGCUUCUUGAGAUUUCCAAUGGAUGGAUGAAUUUCAACCAAACUUACACAACUUUUCAGUAUAAUCUUCUGGAGGUUUGGACUCUCACAAAAAUUGGGUGUUCGGAGUAAACUUCCUGAAAAACUUAAAUUGAGGAUUGUCAACUUGUCAAAUGCCUGUUCAUAAAAAAGAAGGAA